UACAGAGGGGCGAGCGUUGUUCGGAAUUACUAGGGCGUAAAGGCGCGUAGGCGGCCCGCUAAGUCGAACGUGAAAGUCCCCACGGCUCAACCUGGGAACUGCGUCCGAUACUGGCAGGCUUGAAUCCGGGAGAGGGAUGUGGAAUUCCAGGUGUAGCGGUGAAAUGCGUAGAUAUCUGGAGGAACACCGGUGGCGAAGGCGGCAAUCCUGGACCGGUAGUUGACGCUGAGGCGCGAAAGCUAAGGGGAGCAAACGGGG
rnacentral:rRNA from 1 species